rnacentral:lncRNA from 1 species
AAUGUGUGUUUAUACCUAAAUUUAUCUGUGUGUGCUUGACGGGGAAAUGCCAUGCACAUUAACUUUUUAAUAAAGUUCUAAAUAAAACUUGCUUUAUUCAAAGGAAAGUUUUGUUUUAAAAAUCUUGAAAUUUUUCCUUCAGAUUUUUUCACAAGUUAGUGGGUUUUUUAAACCUCUUUUCAGGGUUAUUAAACUGGGUUAAACUAUAUGAAGCGCCUGAUAUGGGGUUUUUGAGUCUAAAAUCCUGGCAGGUGAGCCAGCCCUACAGAGUGGUCUCAGAACAGAGGGUGAUCCGAGUUGUAGGCAGUUCGUGCCGCGUGAACGCUAAUUCUAGAACAUUCAACUUAUCAUGUUAAAUUGAUUGCUGGAUGUUUCUCUGUGAAAGUCUUGGAAUCGUCCUCCCCUUCCUUUCCUUGAGCCAAGAAAACUCUGAACCAGAACAAUUCAAUUUCAAUUUGUGGAAAAACUAUCCUCCAUGAACGAAGCAUCGUGCUAAGAGAGACUGGUGGCAGGAACAUUCUGAUCCCUUUUGCAUGUUACUAAAAUAUCUGAAUUUCUAUUUAAUGGCUCUGGGACGCAUUUACAAGCUUUGUUUCUGAGGAGUAUCUGCAAGCUGUGUCCUAAAGCCUGGGAACCUCGGGAGCAAAACCUGCUUUUGUGCCAUAGUUAUUGUAUUAUAUGUUAAGGAUUUGGAAGGAACCCCAGGGAGGCCUCAGGAAGCAGUCACUGCCUCUUGACUUAUCAUCCUGACGGCGAUUUGUUUUAAAGUUGAUAAUCCCUAGAGCUACAAGAGUGUCCCACAUCUGCCCUGAAUUGAAAACAGAUUCCCAUUAAGAGCCUUACAUCAGCGCUGCGCAUUCAUUCGAUCUGAGUCAGAAAGGAAGUUGGAGAACAUUCGAACGUAUGGCCUGAUAGCAACACGGCAGCUCCCUUCAUGGAGGAUCAAGACGGCGGGGUCCGUAGGCUGUCCAUUUCCGAGCUGAAGCCUGGUUUUUCGGGCUGCACCCCUACACCACAGCUCACAGCAAAGCCGGAUCCUUAACCCACUUAGCAAGGCCAGGGAUCGAACCCGAAACUGCAUGGUUCCUAGUCAGAUUCUUUUCCACUGCUCCACGACAGGAAUUCCAAAGAAACGGCAGACAUAGAAUUUUGAAAGCAGGAGGAGUACAGGAGGAAUUUGACCCUUCUAUCCAGCCUUGGACACUCUCCUUUUGCAACUCCACCCUCUUUUUUUUUCCCACAUUCAAGAGAAAAAUAUUUAAUAAAGAUGUAGAAAUUUGCACAACACAAUAAACAAUUUGAUCUAUAGAACUCUCUGCAUCAAACUUUUAAGGAAUACCCAUUUUUUUCUUGGGAGGGUCUCAUUUCAGGUCCUUUAUUUUUCCAUUUUUUAAAUGACUUUUUUUUUUUCCAUUAUAGCUGGCUUACAGUGUUCUUCCAAUUUUACACUGGACAGAAAGGUGACCCAGUCACGCGUACAUAUAUACAUUCUUUUUCUCACAUUAUCAUGCUCCAUCAUAAGUGACUAGCUAUAGUUCCCACUGCUAUACAGCAGGAUCUCAUUGCUUAUCCAUUCCAAAGGCAAUAGUUUGCAUCUAUUAACCCCAAAUUCUCAGUCCAUCCCACUCCCUCCCCCUCCUCCUUGGCAACAAGUCUGUUCUCUGUGUCCGUGAUUUUCUUUUCUGAGGAAAGGUUCAUUUGUGCACUAUAUUAGAUUCUAGAUGUAAGUGAUAUCAUAUGGUAUUUGUCUUUCUCUUUCUGACUUAACAUCACUUAGUAUGAGAGUCUCUAAUUUCAUCCAUGUUGCUGUAAAUGGCAUUUUUUUCUUUUUUAUGGCUGAGUAAUAUUCCAUUGUGUAUAUAUACCACAUCUUCUUAAUCCAUUCAUCUGUUGAUGGACAUUUAAGUUGUUUCCAUGUCUUGGCUAUUGUGAAUAGUGCUGCAAUGAACAUACAGGUGCAUGUGUUUUUUUCAAAGAAAGUUUUGUCCCAAUAUAUACCCAAGAGUGGGAUUGCUGG